rnacentral:rRNA from 1 species
UACGUAGGUGGCAAGCGUUAUCCGGAUUUACUGGGUGUAAAGGGCGUGUAGGCGGGAAAGCAAGUCAGAUGUGAAAACCACGGGCUCAACCUGUGGCCUGCAUUUGAAACUGUUUUUCUUGAGUGUCGGAGAGGUAAUCGGAAUUCCUUGUGUAGCGGUGAAAUGCGUAGAUAUAAGGAAGAACACCAGUGGCGAAGGCGGAUUACUGGACGAUAACUGACGGUGAGGCGCGAAAGCGUGGGGAGCAAACAGG